CGCCUCUUGACAAAUUAUAAGAGGUCUAGCCUGCCCAGUGACGAAGUUCAACGGCCGCGGUACCCUAACCGUGCGAAGGUAGCAUAAUCACUUGUUCUUUAAAUAAGGACUAGUAUCAACGGCAUCACGAGGGCUAUACUGUCUCCUUUCUCCAAUCAGUGAAACUGAUCUCCCCGUGAAGAAGCGGGGAUUAUUAUAUAAGACGAGAAGACCCCAUGGAGCUUUAAACUCACCAUACACCUUUGUUUAUCUACAUCAUAAUAUCCUAAAAGAUUUGUAUGCUAGUUUUCGGUUGGGGGGACCGCGGAGUAAAAACUAACCUCCACGACAAAUGGGCUAUGCCCUUAUCUAAGAAUUACAAUUCUAAGAAUCAAUAAACUGAUGUUUAAUGACCCGAAUAAUCGAUCAACGAACCAAGUUACCCUGGGGAUAACAGCGCAAUCUACUUCAAGAGCUCCUAUCGACAAGUAGGUUUACGACCUCGAUGUUGGAUCAGGGUAUCCAAGUGGUGCAGCCGCUACUAAAGGUUCGUUUGUUCAACGAUUAAAACCCU
rnacentral:rRNA from 2 species